ACUCAAAGGAAUAGACGGGGGCCCGCACAAGCGGUGGAGCAUGUGGUUUAAUUCGAUGCAACGCGAAAAACCUUACCUACCCUUGACAUCCUCCGAAGCCUGUAGAGAUACGGGCGUGCCGAAAGGAGCGGAGAGACAGGUGCUGCAUGGCUGUCGUCAGCUCGUGUUGUGAGAUGUUGGGUUAAGUCCCGUAACGAGCGCAACCCUUGUCUUUAGUUACCAGCACGUUAAGGUGGGGACUCUAAAGAGACUGCCGGUGAAGAACCGGAGGAAGGCGGGGACGACGUCAAGUCAUCAUGGCCUUUAUGGGUAGGGCUACACACGUGCUACAAUGGGGCGUACAGAAGGAAGCGAAGCGGCGACGUGGAGCGAAUCCGAGAAAGCGCCUCGUAGUCCAGAUUGGAGUCUGCAACUCGACUCCAUGAAGUUGGAAUCGCUAGUAAUCGCGAAUCAGCAUGUCGCGGUGAAUACGUUCCCGGGCCUUGUACACACCGCCCGU
rnacentral:rRNA from 1 species